rnacentral:rRNA from 1 species
GACGAACGCUGGCGGCGUGCCUAAUACAUGCAAGUAGAACGCUGAAGGAGGAGCUUGCUUCUCUGGAUGAGUUGCGAACGGGUGAGUAACGCGUAGGUAACCUGCCUGGUAGCGGGGGAUAACUAUUGGAAACGAUAGCUAAUACCGCAUAAUAGUAGAUGUUGCAUGACAUUUGCUUAAAAGGUGCAAUUGCAUCACUACCAGAUGGACCUGCGUUGUAUUAGCUAGUUGGUGAGGUAACGGCUCACCAAGGCAACGAUACAUAGCCGACCUGAGAGGGUGAUCGGCCACACUGGGACUGAGACACGGCCCAGACUCCUACGGGAGGCAGCAGUAGGGAAUCUUCGGCAAUGGACGGAAGUCUGACCGAGCAACACCGCGUGAGUGAAGAAGGGUUUCGGAUCGUAAAGCUCUGUUGUAAGAGAAGAACGAGUGUGAGAGUGGAAAGUUCACACUGUGACGGUAUCUUACCAGAAAGGGACGGCUAACUACGUG